AUUGAACGCUGGCGGCAGGCCUAACACAUGCAAGUCGAGCGGAUGAAGGGAGCUUGCUCCUGGAUUCAGCGGCGGACGGGUGAGUAAUGCCUAGGAAUCUGCCUGGUAGUGGGGGAUAACGUCCGGAAACGGGCGCUAAUACCGCAUACGUCCUGAGGGAGAAAGUGGGGGAUCUUCGGACCUCACGCUAUCAGAUGAGCCUAGGUCGGAUUAGCUAGUUGGUAGGGUAAAGGCCUACCAAGGCGACGAUGCGUAACCGGUCUGAGAGGAUGAUCAGUCACAUUGGGACUGAGACACGGCCCAAACUCCUACGGGAGGCAGCAGUAGGGAAUCUGCCACAAUGGGCGAAAGCCUGAUGGAGCAACGCAGCGGGGGUGAAGAAGGUCUUCGGAUCGUAAAACCCUGUUGUGAGAGAAGAAAGGGCGUGAGAGUAACUGUUCACGUUUAGACGGUAUCUAACCAGAAAGCCACUGCUAACUACGUG
rnacentral:rRNA from 1 species